rnacentral:rRNA from 1 species
CAAUAGCGUAUAUUAAAGUUGUUGCGGUUAAAAAGCUCGUAGUUGGAUUUCUGCUGAGGAUGACCGGUCCGCCCUCCGGGUGAGUAUCUGGCUCAGCCUUGGCAUCUUCCUGAAGAACGUAACUGCACUUGACUGUGUGGUGCGGUAUUUAGGACAUUUACUUUGAGGAAAUUAGAGUGUUUCAAGCAAGCGCACGCCUUGAAUACAUUAGCAUGGAAUAAUAAGAUAGGACCUCGGUUCUAUUUUGUUGGUUUCUAGAGCUGAGGUAAUGAUUGAUAGGGAUAGUUGGGGGCAUUCGUAUUUAACUGUCAGAGGUGAAAUUCUUGGAUUUGUUAAAGACGGACCACUGCGAAAGCAUUUGCCAAGGAUGUUUUCAUUGA